UACGGGGGGAGCAAGCGUUGUUCGGAUUUACUGGGCGUAAAGGGCGCGUAGGCGGCGCAACAAGUCACUUGUGAAAUCUCCGGGCUUAACCCGGAGCGGCCAAGUGAUACUGUCGUGCUAGAGUGCGGAAGGGGCUACUGGAAUUCUCGGUGGUAGCGGUGAAAUGCGUAGAUAUCGAGAGGAACACCUGCGGCGAAGGCGGGUAGCUGGGCCGACACGUGACGCUGGAGGCGCGAAAGCCAGGGGAGCGAACGGGAUUAGACGUACCCG
rnacentral:rRNA from 1 species